GAUUGAGAGCUAAUGCUGCUAAUUCCUUCCUUGGAUGUCUGAGCCAUGAUAUUAUCCCCAGUUCAUAUUAUUCAUUGGUUCGAUCUUCAUGUUUUGUAAUUGUUGCAUUGCAAAUGAUGAUAAUUUUAAGGCUUGUUUCUCAAAACAUUCGCAGUUGCCGCCUAAGAGCUUUCGCCCUGCCAGGCUUGAGAGCUAAUGCUGCUAGAUCCUUCCUUGGAUGUCUGAUGCAAUGCUUUAUGAAUAUCUAGUUUUACAUGUAAGUUGUACUUUUUUUUCAUUUUCUUACAUCAAUCAUCUGUUUUGAAUGCCUGUUGGUGAUCAAUCUGAACCUUGGAUGUAUGGCUACAUAUACAUUGAGUGAACUUUCAAUGCUGUUCAAAUCAUCUGCAAGGAGAGCUGCAUCCCCCUCAGCUGGAGCAGUUCAACAUGGAGUGAACUUUCGAUGAGAUUGGCUUCUGCCUGUUACCGUUCAUAACUUGAGAUGCUCUGUCAGAGCGGCAUGUUUGAAACAGAUUCUCCUAUGGUGGAACAGGCUGACACGGCUGAAUACUUUUAUAAUGUCCAUGCGUGUUGCUAUAUUAUGGAAAUUAACUUCAGUUUUUCUUGGUUUCUACAAACUGUAAUCUGCUCCUUGUCUUAAAAGGACUUGCGUCUAAUGGGAUUGUUUAGUGUGUCUAGUGUUAUGAUGGUUCUUUAUAACACAUUUCUAGAUGAUGGGCCUAGUGUUAUGAUGUCCAGAUAACGAGAGUGCAUACAUCAAAUGGUUCACAAGGUCAGGGUAAGUUUAUAUUACGAAACUUCAGGCUCCACCGAACUUAUUGGAACUA